AUGGAUUUGUAUUCAGUGUGAAGUGAGAGAGGAAUUUAAAAUGCCGUCUCUCAGCCUCUCAUGCCUAAUUUUCUAGGCUAGUUCUAAUAAUACAGAGCCCGUGAGUUACACUUUGUGGAAAGUUGCACGACGCUCAUUCGUGCGUUGCCUGAAGAAAUGUCAGCAAAAUCGUAACAUAUCGUAUAAACACGCGGCGUACAUAUGUGAAUGCCGCCGGAGCGACAUUCACGCACCAGUUGUGACAAGGCCGAUAUCGGCAGUGUAAUCCAUAUAUAUUUUCUUGCAGCGAUGUAGAAAAACCGAUCCAUCUUAUUCGAUCUCCGACCUACAUAUUCCUCCCGAGAUUAAAUUUCUACAAGCGAAAUGUCGAUUGCGAAAUAAUCGCACCAGAUGGUCUUUUCUUCGGCAAAAGCGGCUACGAAAUUAAAAGUUGGUAACGGCAUUGUAGAAUAUAAUCCUAUGAUUAUCACUGAUCGUUGCCGCGGAGCGAGACCAAGAGCUAGACAGCAUCGAGAGCAGAUGCAAUUAGAUUGCACACCGUGGAAUGGUCAAAGUGGAUUUCCAGAGGGGAUAUGAAUAACGAGUGAACGCUUUCGCAUUGAUCCUCGUCCGCAUUGGACUUUCCAUGAGCCGAUUUGAGUAUGGCUAUAAUUUACGUUGAUACCUAUCGCCUAUACACAGGAUGUUCGGCCCGAAAGUAUCGUGUGAGCGAACGUGUUAGGACUGGUAUUGGUACAGAGAGCUUCGGGGCAACAAGGAAAGUAGAAAAUACGACAAACUAGGCAAUAAGCGAAAGUAAAAUCGUCAUACAAUUUAA